AGUAAACAUGUUAGUAACGGAC
rnacentral:miRNA from 1 species